GGUGCUGUAGCUCAGUGGUAGAGUGCGUGCUUAGCAUGCAGGAAGUCUUGGGUUCAAUCCCCAGUGACUCCA
rnacentral:tRNA from 1 species